AACGAACGCUGGCGGCAUGCCUAACACAUGCCAGUCGAACGAGACCUUCGGGUCUAGUGGCGCACGGGUGCGUAACGCGUGGGAACCUGCCCUUAGGUUCGGAAUAACUCCCCGAAAGGGGUGCUAAUACCGGAUAAUGUCUUCGGACCAAAGAUUUAUCGCCUUUGGAUGGGCCCGCGUUGGAUUAGCUAGUUGGUAGGGUAAAAGCCUACCAAGGCGACGAUCCAUAGCUGGUCUGAGAGGAUGAUCAGCCACACUGGGACUGAGACACGGCCCAGACUCCUACGGGAGGCAGAAGUGGGGAAUAUUGGACAAGGGGCGAAAGCCUGAUCCAGCAAUGCCGCGUGAGUGAUGAAGGCCUUAGGGUUGUAAAGCUCUUUUACCCGGGAUGAUAAUGACAGUACCGGGAGAAUAAGCUCCGGCUAACUCCGUG
rnacentral:rRNA from 1 species